CUCUCUCUAUAUUUCAUCUCUUUACUCUCUCUCUCUCCUCAAUUUUCGUCACUUUCUCUCUCUAGAUUUUCUUUUGCGACUAAAUUUCGGCGGAUCAUAACUUUUGAUCCGUAACUCCGAUUCUAAAUCUACGAAGUGCUACGAGUUCGUCUCAAUGUCCUCUUUCUAUUGUUGAGGUUUGGGUUAGAUCCAAAGGUGAAUUUAGAUGACUCGUUUCAGGAGGCUCGGUUUACGAUCAGUAUUCGUGGUGGGGAUUCCUAUUGACGAGGACGUGAGGAGGAUAAUUUGGAGGAAGCCUCGGGCCGUCGGCAAACAUAGCCAAGCACAGCUUUUCGUUUUAAAUGACCAGUCUGCAGAGUUCUGUUAUGACUCCACUUAA